GCCUGGCUGGCUCAGCCGGUAGAGCAUGUGACUCUUGAUCUCAAGGUUGUGAGUUCAAGACCCACAUUGAGUG
rnacentral:tRNA from 1 species